GGAGCAGGCCGGGCAGCCGCGGACCCAGUGGUCCGAGGAAAGUCCGGGCUCCGCAGGGCAGGGUGGUGGGUAACACCCACCGGGGGCGACCCCAGGGAGAGUGCCACAGAAACAUACCGCCCCGGCCAUGAGGGGCGGCCGGUGUGGUCGCCAGGAGCCGGGGUAAGGGUGAAAAGGCCGGGUAAGAGCCGGCCGGCAGCCUGGUGACGGGCUGGCCAGGCAAACCCCACCCGGAGCAAGGCCAGGUAGGGGGAGAUGACGUGGCCCGCCGAUCCCCGGGUAGGCCGCUCGAGGCCGCAGGUGACUGGCGGCCCCAGAGAGAUGGCUGCCCCCGGACUUCGGUCCGGGACAGAACCCGGCUUACAGGCCUGCUCCCCCU
rnacentral:RNase_P_RNA from 1 species